AGAUGCCUGCCCCCCACUGAAGCCUUACGCUUUGCGUAGGAGAUCAUGUAGGUGGGGGCGGGCAUCA
rnacentral:sRNA from 1 species